GCUCUGGCGCAAGCCAACCGCAGUGUCACCGGCGGCAAUGGUGGUCAGCCCGCCUACCCUGCUUCGGCAAACACAUUGCGCGGUCCGGUACAGCGGGGCGUAGGGAGCAUUGCUCUUCGAUACCCGCGACCGGC
rnacentral:sRNA from 12 species